CUGGUUUUGCUUCUCUGCAUCUGGUUGCACACCUACACCUCUCCACCUGUCUUCUAUCUACAGUAAGCAGCAGGAUUGUACUUAAGACCAGCGUUGCCAUCAGUUCUUCACCAGUUCGUCAGCUACCUCAUGAUGCAGCCUCGUCAAUUCACGACUCUACUCACCCGCAACUCCUUUCUCUGGAUGCUAUUCUCCUCGGUAAAAUCCUCAGCUUCCUUCUGCAACUCUCUUCCCUGGACUUAUAACUGCUUACUGCACCUGCCUGCCUGUCUCCUGCCCGCUGACUUCUCUGGACUGCUAGAACACAAGAUCAGAACCCCACUCACUCCUCACUCAGCAACACAAGCCUUACCCCUCCACCUGCAAAGAUUCCCCCUGCAAAAACUUUUUUGAACUUUCCACAAUGGAGCUUUGGCAGUUUGUGUUGUGCUGUUGUCUCGUGUUGUGGAAAUUUAUACGUUUUUCUAAUGUGUUUGCUGUUCUGCAGGACAUAAAAGUUAAUCUAGGAUAAACUCAUCUU